UGUAUUUAUUAGAUAAAAAACCAAUGCCCUUCGGGGCUCCUUGGUGAAUCAUAAUAACUUAACGAAUCGCAUGGCCUUGCGCCGGCGAUGGUUCAUUCAAAUUUCUGCCCUAUCAACUUUCGAUGGUAGGAUAGUGGCCUACCAUGGUGGCAACGGGUAACGGGGAAUUAGGGUUCGAUUCCGGAGAGGGAGCCUGAGAAACGGCUACCACAUCCAAGGAAGGCAGCAGGCGCGCAAAUUACCCAAUCCCGACACGGGGAGGUAGUGACAAUAAAUACUGAUACGGGGCUCUUUUGGGUCUCGUAAUUGGAAUGAGUACAAUCUAAAUCCCUUAACGAGGAACAAUUGGAGGGCAAGUCUGGUGCCAGCAGCCGCGGUAAUUCCGGCUCCAAUAGCGUAUAUUAAAGUUGUUGCAGUUAAAAAGCUCGUAGUUGAACCUUGGGUCUGGCUGGCCGGUCCGCCUCACCGCGAGUACUGGUCCGGCUGGACCUUUCCUUCUGGGGAAUCUCAUGGCCUUCACUGGCUGUGGGGGGAACCAGG
rnacentral:rRNA from 1 species